ACUUAAGUCUUCCAUUCUUGAUGGCUUAAUUGAAACAAUUAUUCAGUACAAAGUCUACCUCUCUGAUGCAGAGUUUAAGGAUGUAGCUGCAGCUCUUGUGUCAUCCCAUCCUUGUUUGAAAGAGCCUGGUUCAGCCACUGGAUAUGACGGCUGGAAGACAAGCCUGAAGUAUAAACUUGGUAACUACCGAACAAAGCUGAGACGUCUUGGAUGCCCAGAAGUAUCAGUAAAUGCUCUUGUAAACAAACCGAAUAAUAGAUGCAGUCCUGCUUAUGGUGUAAAAAAGCCCAAAAAAAGCAGAAGUCAAUUACUGCCCUGCUUAUCCAUCUGGUGAAACAAAGGAGACUCAAGAACUUCUAAGAGUAGCUCUUCUUUCAGAAGUGGAAAAAAGAAACAAUGAAAAUAAGGUGGCAAUGUUAAUGGAGAGGUCGUUUGCUCACAGAAGGCAAGAAGUGGUUCGAGAUGCACCCAUGAUAGCAGAUUUCAAAACAAGAUAACCAGCACUCUUCAGUGUGCAUGAGGUGUGUGCAGAAUUCAAAAGGAUUACUACAGUCCAUUUGCAGUCUAAGUUUUUCUCCCAGCUGGAUGUUCACUCUGCAAAUCUAAUCAAGGCAUAUAGUAAGAAGGGUGGAUUUAUAGGAAGGAGACUCAAGAGCAUCAUGACACCUAUGACCCAGAACAAUAGCAUUGAUAUUGGACGUGAAUGCAUCCUAAAGGGACUUUGUGUGUACUUAAAUGAAGAUCCGGAGAAGCUGGUGAAGGAAUACAUGAUGAUGUAAGCAGACACACAGCCAUGAAAGAGACCGUAUUUGGCAUCUAUGUUGUUCGACAUGAAGGUGAUGAGCAUACUGAUCCCCCAGAGGAUGUGGGUGUCAUUCUAGAGGGGGUGACUGUACUCUGUGAACUGGGGA